CGUCUAUAUACGUAUAGCAUAUCAAUAAGCGGAGGAAAAGAAACUAACAAGGAUUCCCUUAGUAACGGCGAGUGAAGCGGGAAGAGCUCAAAUUUGAAAUCUUCAAGGUUUUACCUUGACGAAUUGUAGUUUAUAAGAAGUGUUUUCUGUUAGAUGAGUAGCAAAAGUUCCUUGGAAUAGGACAUCAUAGAGGGUGAGAAUCCCGUAUUUGGUACCAUUAUUUCCAGCUUUGUGAUACACUUUCAAAGAGUCGGAUUGUUUGGGAAUGCAGUCCAAAAUGGGUGGUAAAUUUCAUCUAAAGCUAAAUAUUGGCGAGAGACCGAUAGCGAACAAGUACCGUGAGGGAAAGAUGAAAAGAACUUUGAAAAGAGAGUUAAACAGUACGUGAAAUUGUCAAAAGGGAAGCGUUUGACACCAGUGUUGUUUUCUCGAAAAUCAAUUAAAAAAGGACUGGAUUUUGUGUUGUAUUGACUUUAUCAGCUUUCUGCACUCUUUUCUUGUCUUUUUUAAUGCACUUUUCGUUUAACAAGUCAACAUCAAUUCCUUUUGUUGUAAAAGGGUCAUUGGAAGGUGGCUUUCUUUUCGGAGAAAGUGUUUAUAGCCUUUGGCCUCUGCAAUCGGAGAGAUUGAGGUCUGCAGCGUAGAUCCUUCGGGGUUAGAUACAUUUGUGCUAAGUUAUAGCCUUUCAUAGACAACUUGUUGACUAUGAUUCAGUCAUGUAGCUUACUCGCUGAUGCUAUUUUACCUACGCUUAGGAUGUUGACUGAUAUGUAGUCGUA
rnacentral:rRNA from 1 species